UGGUAUAAUCUACUUGCAGAUAAGUUUAAAGAUGGUUGCUUACUCCGAGAAUGGGGGUGACGCCUAUGAAGAUAUGGCAAAGAGCUCCUGGAAAGGAACGCCAUGUCCGAUUUUGAAUUACUGUAUAUAGUAAUUCUGAUUGUUGGACUUGCACUUUUAAGUCAGGACAAUA
rnacentral:sRNA from 1 species